ensembl:lncRNA
CCUGAGUCUGAUGCAAAUUGAUGGUGGCUUGAUGCAAAACUGUAUGCUGAGGGGGCUAGCACGUUCACCUCAUACCUCCAGGGUCCGGGGUUCGAGUCCCGCCGGGGCCAUGUGUGUGUGCGGAGUUUGCAUUUUCUCCCUGUGCUGCAGGGAUUUCCUCCGGGUACUGCGGUUUCCUCCACCAGUCCAAAGACAUGCAUGAUAGGCUGACUGGCAUGUCUAAAGUGUCCGUAGUGUAUGAUGAGUGUGUAUGUGAUUGUGCCCUGCAAUGGACUGGCACCCUGUCCAGGUUGUACCCCGCCUCAUGCCCGAUGCUACCUGGGAUUGGCUUCAGGUUCCCCCGUGACCCUGAAAAGGAGUAAGCGGUAGAAGAUGGAUGGAUGCUGAGGAAGAAAAUGAUUCUGGCUUCAACAACAGCAUGUGAAUCCACCUACGAGUAUGUUUUUGGGAGAUGGGGGAGGGGAAACCUGGAGGAUGCCAACACAGACAGUAAGUAUCCAGAAAUAUAAAUUAAAAAAAGAGAUAGAUAGAUAGAUAGUCAUGGACAAAGAAAGGGAGAGUGGGCAGCUCUUAUGGUUUAUUGUAAUGGAUUUGCCCCACUAUAAAUCCACUGUAGGGGGCACAGAGUUUGCAUGUUCUCCCCGUGCCUCAAGGGUUUCCUCCGGGUACUCCUGUUUCCUCCCCCAGUCAAAAGACAUGUGUUGUAGGCUGACUAGCAUUUCCAAAUUGUCUGUAGUGUGUGAGUGUGUGUGUGAUUGUGCUCUGUGAUGGGUUGGCACCCUGUCUAGGGUGUCCUCGCCUUGUGCCUCAGUUUCACUAGGAUAGGCUCCAGGCUCCCUGCGACCCUGUGUAGGAUAAGCGGUAUGGAAGAUGGAUGCAUACAUGAGUGAAUGGGUGGAUGGAUGGAUGGAUGGAUGGAUGGAUGGAUGGAUGAAUCCACUGUCCUGAGGUCUGCCUGUGUGCCCCUAAAGGUUAACCUACCAAAAAGCCUUAAUUAUGUGCUGUGCAGGAAUAAAGAAGCAAUAUCCUCUGCUUUGCGUUCUAAAUUUACCACACUGAAAUGACAUUGAGUUUUGCAAGGACAGUUGGAUUUGUUAUAAUGCCAGAUAAUGCAGUGUGAAUCUAAUUUCAGCGGUAUGGGGACAAUCAGCUGUAAACUUUGUCUUGUCAGAGCUCAGUGUUAGGAACUCUAAGGCUGACAUAUUAAAAUAAAAGCAUAUUUCUCUUUUCAGUAUGUCCGGGCUAUCAUGACACCUGGAAAUAAAGUGUUAUGACCUACGUUGG